rnacentral:rRNA from 1 species
AGGACGAACGCUGGCGGCGUGCUUAACACAUGCAAGUCGAGCGACGCUCCUCCUUCGGGAGGAUGACGGAGCGGCGAACGGGUGAGUAACACGUGGGCAACCUGCCCCUAGCUCUGGGAUAACCCCGGGAAAUCGGGACUAAUACCGGAUAUGAAGUCGGACGGCAUCGUCUGACUUGGAAAGUUUUUCGGCUAGGGAUGGGCCCGCGACCUAUCAGCUUGUUGGUGGGGUAAUGGCCUACCAAGGCGACGACGGGUAGCCGGCCUGAGAGGGCGACCGGCCACACUGGGACUGAGACACGGCCCAGACUCCUACGGGAGGCAGCAGUGGGGAAUAUUGCACAAUGGGCGAAAGCCUGAUGCAGCGACGCCGCGUGAGGGAUGACUGCCUUCGGGUUGUAAACCUCUUUCAGCAGGGACGAAGCGAAAGUGACGGUACCUGCAGAAGAGCACCGGCCAACUACGCGCCAGCAGCCGCGGUAA